GUGGGGAAUUUUGGACAAUGGGCGCAAGCCUGAUCCAGCAAUGCCGCGUGCAGGAAGAAGGCCUUCGGGUUGUAAACUGCUUUUGUACGGAACGAAAAGGCUCUGGCUAAUACCUGGAGCUCAUGACGGUACCGUAAGAAUAAGCACCGGCUAACUACGUGCCAGCAGCCGCGGUAAUACGUAGGGUGCGAGCGUUAAUCGGAAUUACUGGGCGUAAAGCGUGCGCAGGCGGUGCUGUAAGACAGGCGUGAAAUCCCCGGGCUCAACCUGGGAAUUGCGCUUGUGACUGCAGCGCUGGAGUGCGGCAGAGGGGGAUGGAAUUCCGCGUGUAGCAGUGAAAUGCGUAGAUAUGCGGAGGAACACCGAUGGCGAAGGCAAUCCCCUGGGCCUGCACUGACGCUCAUGCACGAAAGCGUGGGGAGCAAACAGGAUUAGAUACCCCAGUAGUCC
rnacentral:rRNA from 1 species